UCCAUCACAGAGUUCACCUGUCCAAAGUCCUUGACAAGGAAAACUGCCCCCACCCCUGCUCUUCACGCUGAGCGGCAGUGGGCUGGCUGUCCCCUCUUACCCAAGCUGAUUGGACCACGGAAGGACAUCUGACCCAAGGGCAGCCAAUCCAUUGACUGGCCGAGGACCGAUUCCUUCCCUAGUCUGGAAAGAAGAUCUAGCCAAUCAGGUUCCCUGUCUCAGGAGUUCAAACAAGGAAACGGUGGGAGAGUCCAGUAAGAGGUGGUCUUGCCGGAAGGUGACUGUGGCAGUAGAAACCAAAGCAGGAGCCAGGUGGUAAAGAAAACUCAGAGCAAAGAGGAGGUAACUGCGUUCUAUGAGUAGAGGCAGCACGUUGCGAAAACGGUGCUGUUGAGUUUCCAGGGCUGGCCAAGCCCACAGCUGCUGCCAGGUCUGAGCUUCCCCAGGCUGGGAUGUUUAGACCUUCCUGGAUUUCUGCGUCUGCAGCGUCUUAGUGUUUCUUGAGAUUGGCAACAAUUUAAAAGUCAGACAAUUCAAAUAUUGAAGAGAAUUUGGAACAACUGGAAUGUUUAACCGCUGCUGAUAGGAGUGUAAAUCACUACAACCACUCUGGAAGACAAUUUGGCAUCAUCUCUUAAAGCUGAACGUUCGUAUGCCAUUGAUCCAGCAGCUCCUUUCCCAGGUGUAUCCCUGGAGAAACUGGUGCCCAGUACAUCAGGAAGCACGUUCAGUGAUGUUCAUAGCAGCACGAUUUAUGUAGCGGAAAUACAGAACUGACCCAAAUGUCCAUCAAUACAUUUAUAGAUGAGUUGUGGAAUAGCCAUCAGUGUUGUAUAUAAAAGGGAAGAGAAAACUGGCAGCUCCAAUGAUGAAAUUGAGUUUGCUCUCGCAUUAGAGUAAUCUAUGAAGAGCUUAGUGAAGUUUGGGUCAAAUUGACCAUCACUGUGAACAUAUCAAAUGGAUAAGUCUCAGACACAUCAUCUUGAGUGAAAGAAGCAAAUCAGAGAAAUACAUACAUUAUGAUUCACUUUAUAUAAUAUCAGAAGCAGGGAAAAACCAAACAAUAUCUUGCAUUAGGAUACAAACAUCUGUGGCAUAAUGAGGAAGAAGAGCAAACGAAUAAUGAGCACCAAGUUCAGGGUGAUGGUGACCUCUGGAGGGGGAGGGCACAGGGUAGCAUCGGAAACUUCAAAAGUAAUGGUCAUCCUGUUUCUCUUGCACUGGACGGUGUGGUCACGUAUCUUCAUUUUAGCAAUAUUCUUUAUAUCUUACAUAUAUUUUAUAAAUAUCACUUUGCAUCUGUUUCAGUUUGAAUAAAAACAAACUUUUAAAACCUUCUAUAUGCACUACCGCCACGUAGUAUCAUGCUAAUCUCAAGGUUUUUCUGCAGACUCGGCUUGUUUGUAUUAGACUAUAAUUACCACCUUUUAGAUUCGAGUGUCACUGCUCAGUGUAGUGGUCUUUUAUUGCGUUGCCUGCUCAGAACCUAUGGUAGAUAGCCUGUAAAAUGCUCCCCAGUGAUCUCUACCUCCUGGUCUUCACACCCCCUCCCCUAGAAUGCAGGCUGGACCCAGCAACUCACUUCUUACAAACAGAAAACAGCAAAAGUGAUGCAAUGUCACCUCAGAGAUUAGGUUACAAAAAGACUGUGGCUUCUGUCUUGGGUGCCCUCUCCUGCUCUUCCACUUGCUCUGAGGAAAACCAGCUGCCAUAUUAUGAGCUGUCCUGUGGAAAGAUCUACGUGUCAAGGGACUGAUGUCUCUGGCCAAUAGUCAGCAAGGACCUGAGGCCUGCCAACAGGCACAUAAGUGAACUUGGAAGCAGAUCUGCUGUCGUUGAGCCUCAAGAUGACUGUACCCUGGCCGAUACCUUGAUUGCAACCUCGUGACAGACAAGGUUUGAGUCAGAGACACCCAGCUAAGCCACACCCUGAUUCCUGACCUACAGAAACUCUUAAAUAGUAUUUGUUGUUUUCAGCCACUGAGGUUGGGGGUAAUUUGUUAGCAGCAAUUGAUAACUUGUAGAGGAUCUCUUGUUCUGGGAACAGUUCCCUUGUUUGGGGGAACUAUAUCUCUUUCACCACUUCUUCACCUUAAGGUGUCAAUGGGUGCGGCCAUCUUAUAUGAUUCUCUCUUCCAAGGCACAGUCAUUGGUCCAUGAGUGGGCACCUGACCCAAGCUGGGCCAACCGUAGUAACUCCUCCAGACAUUGUAGUUUGCAUACCCAACAUCUGUUCCCUCUUUUCUCCUUCCUAAGAGAACCAUACCUCAAGGAGACAGUCAGCCAGAGAGAAUAAGGCUAAUGUACAGAGCAAAGUAGCAAAGAAAAACCAAGAAGGGCAUUGUGUUCAGCACUUGGAACCUCUGUAAGGGAGUCAACCAGGGUGGUCUUCUCACUUCAUCUUAACUCUUUCCAAAGACAAGACCUCCUACGACUAACUUGCUUUUCCCAUCCCAAGAUCCAGCAUUGUGCACAUUUCAGGAAAUAAUUGGUUCUCUUGGUAAAAUUUAAUUUAUUUAAUUUAAAGUCCUGAACACUGGCCACUGGGGCUAUGUAUUUAUACCAUUUCACGAAUUUAUAUAAUUUCAUAAAGCUUAUAGUGGUAUGCUGGAUGACCACACAGCAACUUAGGUAUUUCAGUGGCUAAGAGGGAAUCUUUAUCUUUCAAAGUCAUGUGUUUAUGCUAUGUGUUUUAUUUCACUCAAUCUUCAUUAAGCUCUUUCCUACCAUGCUGUAAUGCAAAACCAUCUUUAUUUCUAUUUAACUUCCUAUUUGAGCUACCAGUCUUUUUAUCACUUUUAUGUAGCAUGCUCAAAUCAGACCCCAUAUACCAUGUUAUAUAUUUUCAUAUCCAACCAUGUGUUCAGUUACUGCUGCCUAGACUUAAGAAUAUCAAUAUUCAAGUGUCACUCUAUUAUUAUUAUUUUUCUUUGAGCCAUUGAGCCUGCAUUUCUAAGGCUUCGGAAUUUAACUUUCCUACUUUACUCAAUUUUGCCAGUGAUAGUCCAUAGCACAUGCAUUCAUGAUAGCUUGUAACCGUGUCAAAAAGGAAACUAAAUCUUGAUAAAAUUUCUCUCUCGUAGCUUUCUCUUGUCUCCAAGCGUGUCCUAGCAGCGUAUCCAUGGUCUGUCUGCAUUAGGACUCUAUAACUGAAAUUUCAGCACAUUUAAACGGAAUUGUCUCACACACAGUACAUUGAAUAACAUCAUUAUACAAAACAGCAUUGAAUUGUGCCUGCAUGACCGAUUAUCUAUAUUCUUGGAAGAAUGUGAUAAUAUUUGCUGUUCCAUGUUCUACACCCUUAUCGUUAAAAGGAGAUUCCUGUAACUGGCCCUUUAGCCUUGGUUGCUGUUCUAUUACUUGGUGCUUGAAUCCCAUCCAGAAACUCUUUCCGUGCCACCCCCCCCCACCCGCCUUACACAUGCAUGCUAUCAGGAACACACGAAGGCUCUUGGCAGUCUUAACUAAUGGAGUGUUAGCUAAUUACACACCCAGCCACAUGCAAACUUUAAACUUAGUUGAAUACGGCCGGUGUACGUAUGACUCAAAGGGCACAGGUGUGAAUGUUCAAAAAGUUUUUUUUUUUAAUUUGGAAUUUUGAAAAAUCUCAGUAGCCCCGACCACAGAAUCCUAUCCUUCCCUUGUUUAAUUUUUACACUCGUGAAUUCUGCCCGUGGUGUUAUGUAUAUAUUUUUUGCGACUUGUUUUUUUCCAUUAUAUAUCAGAUGUAUAUAGAAAGCCUUUCCUUGGGGAAAAAAAUACAUAAACUCAAUCUACGUUACUGUUC